AAUAGAUACCCAGGUAGUCCACGCCCUAAACGAUGUCGACUAGGUGUUGGGGAAGGAGACUUCCUUAGUACCGCAGCUAACGCGUGAAGUCGACCGCCUGGGGAGUACGGUCGCAAGAUUAAAACUCAAAGGAAUUGACGGGGGACCCGCACAAGCGGUGGAUGAUGUGGAUUAAUUCGAUGCAACGCGAUGAACCUUACCUACCCUUGACAUGUACGGAAGUCCGCUGAGAGGUGGAUGUGCCCGAAAGGGAGCCGUAACACAGGUGCUGCAUGGCUGUCGUCAGCUCGUGUCGUGAGAUGUUGGGUUAAGUCCCGCAACGAGCGCAACCCUUGCCAUUAGUUGCCACAUUCAGUUGGGCACUCUAAUGGGGACUGCCGGUGACAAACCGGAGGAAGGUGGGGAUGACGUCAAGUCCCCAUGGCCCUUGUGGGUAGGGCCUCACACGUCAUCAAUGGCGCAUACAGAGGGGUUGCCAAACCCGGCAGGGGGGAGCCAAUCCCAGAAAGUGCGUCGUAGUCCGGAUUGGAGUCUGC
rnacentral:rRNA from 1 species